GACGAACGCUGGCGGCGUGCCUAAUACAUGCAAGUAGAGCGCUGAAGAGAGGAGCUUGCUCUUCUUGGAUGAGUUGCGAACGGGUGAGUAACGCGUAGGUAACCUGCCUUUUAGCGGGGGAUAACUUUUGGAAACGAUAGCUAAUACCGCAUAACAAUUUGUAACACAUGUUUUUUAUUUGAAAGAGGCAAUUGCUCCACUACAAGAUGGACUUGCGUUGUAUUAGCUAGUAGGGGAAGUAAAGGCUCAACUAGGCGAAGAUACAUAGCCGAACUGAGAGGGUGAUCGGGCACAAUGGGACCGAGACACCGCCCAGACUCCUUCGGGAGGCAGCAGUAGGGAAUCUUCGGCCAUGGGGGGAAACCUGACCGAGCAACGCCGCGUGAGUGAAGAAGGUUUUCGGAUCGUAAAGCUCUGUUUUUAGUGAAGAACGGGUGUGAGAGUGGAAAGUUCACACUGUGACGGUAGCUUACCAGAAAGGGACGGCUAACUACGUG
rnacentral:rRNA from 1 species